AAACAUUCCAGCUUUGGACUGUAUCAACCUGCCAUGUUGAUUGACACUCUUACAUUCAGGAUGGAUGAUUGAUCAUUUGGUCCACUUCUGCGAAGAGAAUAUGGCCCCGAUAUGGGGAAAAAUUUUACAAAUUUGCUUUUUAACUGCAGCUAUGCAUGUAGAAGUUUAAUUUGUUGGAUUUUACUGUGUAAGAGCCAAGUUGCAGAUUAAGGACAGUUGAUUAUAAACAAAACAAGAUGUGUUUUGCAGAACUUUGUAAAACACUGAUGUCCCCAUAUGGCAGCUACUGGCAAAGGUUUUUAGUUUCUUCAUGCACUUUCUCCAAAGUUUAUGCAAGUCCAACUCCAAGCUCAAGGGCAAUGUAACAGAAAUGUUGGUAUUCUAAGAAAGGUCUUGACUCCAGGGAGAUACCUGAUGUCUUUUGAGAAAUUUUCACUCACAUGGAGAUGCCACCACUUGCCGGUGGAGGGCUGCAAAUUUUGUACUAAACACUCAGGGCCAUUGAGCAGGGAGGGAUCUUUAUUAAUGCCAAGACCUACUCAGUUUAUAUGGUCUCAUCUGAAGGACAAGUCUCCUCCUCCCAUAGUGGAUUUGAAACUGUGACGUAAAAAUCAGCUCCUUAUUCCGCGACUAAAGAGCAGAUAUGCUCUAACCAAUAAAUCAAAUGGGCGAGGAUAUAUAUAAUGGGCAUAUUUUGAUUAUAAAUUAUUCAUAUAUGAAAUUUCUAAAAUAUUAAUAAAUUUAAUAAAUAGUACUUUUUUAUGAAGUUCAAAAUUCUACUGUUUUUUCAUUAGCUUUGUAAAUCUUUACAAUUUUUAUAAUUUUUUUUAUGGGACAAAAUUUUGAGAAUUUGAAUGAUUUAAAAUCUAUAUUGCUAAACAUUCAUUUUUCUUAAUAUAUUAUGGCAGUAGUUCUCAAUUUCAUAUGAAAUUAACUCCUGCUUAUAUAUAUAUACGAGGGUUGAUCCAAAAGUUCGUGGAAUUUCUUUCUAAAAUUUUAUCAUGAUUUGAUGAAAGAAAACAACAGGCAUAUAUAUAAUAUAGAGCCAUAAUGUAACAAUAUUGGAAAAUUUCAAAACUUUCCAGUAAACAAUAAGGUCAUUUGAGCUUUCUGAAAACGGAUUGUUGUGAAACCCGUGGGAGACUUAGACGUUGUGUCAAGUUUGAUAUGUCACGUCACAUUAUAGAAGCAAUUCAAAUCAUAGACCUAAAACGACUUCGUUUUAGGUCUAUGUUCAAAUACACAAUUCUACAAAAUGCAGCCCUAUUCUCCAUUUUUUUUUUAAGAAAAGCCUGGGUAUCCUCUCGCACAAACUUAUUUUCAUUCUUCUCUCAUAUUUUAAAAUACUCCCCAUCUUUCCAUAUGAUGUUCCAAUGUUUUAAAAAAAUUACUACACCUACUGUAGAUUCCUUAUAUUUCGCGAGUACUUUUUAUUGCGAACUGGCUCUUUAACGUCAAAUCGCGAGAAUAAUAUUUCGCGAGUAAACGGUUGAUCAACAGAAUUUACAUUCAUGAAUUUCAACAUCAUAAAAAUAACAGCGAGUAAUAUUAUUUCGCGACUGAUGAUUCUCGCGAAAUUACGCGGAAAUUAAUUCCUCGCGUAUAAAUAGGAAUCUACAGUAUAUACAUAAACGUAUAUAGGUGUAGUAAUUUUUUUAAAACUUGGGUUUUUUUUUACCUGAUCGUUUCAGAAUCUUUAUACAUGUAUAAGCAACUUUUAGAGUGUAUUUAAUGUAGAUAUAUUUUUAAAAAAAUUUAUUUUACUUUUAACAAUCCGGAAGACAAGCCCCUAUGCUACGCGUUUAACAUUGAGUAACCCCAGGAUUUUCACAAAACGUAUGACUUGACCGAAAUUUGACGUCUAACAAGUUAAAUAUGAACAAUAAAUCACCAACUAAUAAAGUAAAUAUCCAGUAAAAUCAGUAAAACUCUCACAUGAAGGUUUAUAAAAAAAUCAAGCAAUUGUAAUAAUGACAUAAUUUUCAUUUUAUAUACCAUAUAGGGCAGAUUUAUUCUCAUUUCACGUAUUAAGAAUUAAAAUGAUCAUAAACGCGUUAGUGUCUCCCCCGCAUUUCCAAACAACCAUUUCUGUGGUAGCUGCCAUAGAGUUACUAUCAUAAUAUUUAAAAUGUUUUUUUUUUUAUUUGAAAUAUUCAACAAGUGUCUAUAUUCUCAUUUGUAAUUUUCAACCAAUUUCAUCUAAGAAUAUACAAAUAAAAAAAGUACAAAUUCCAUGAAAUUUUGGAUCAACCCUCGUAGGGAGAGAUCUAGAGAGAGAGAGAAAUGUUGAAAAGUGUGUGUCAAUAAGUUAUUGAUUUUUUAGCUCUCCUAAGCUGAAAGCUCAAGUGAGCUUUUCUGAUCACACGUUGUCAUCUGUCAAUACAAACUUUUCACAUUUUCAACUUUUUCUCAAGAACCAAUUUUAACCAAACUUGGUACAAAGCAUCCUUUAGUGAAAUUGAGUUUAAAUUCUUAAAAUGAAGGGCAAAGCCCCUUCCAAGGGGAGAUAAUCAAGAGAUGAUAAAAAUAGUGUGGAAUCAAUAAACAAGAGGCCCAAGGGCCUCGAAUCGCUCUUCUGAUAAAUUGUACAAUCUAUCGAUCACUUCUGUUUGAAGCCUCUAACUCUUAGUAUCCCAAGAUGCAUGAACUGACAAAGUUUGAUGAUUCUUAGCCAGUUAGGGCUAAAGACAUUUCAGUACGGCUAUGAAAUACCAUAAGUAGGUCACAGUGACCUACUUUUUGAUUUUAAAUAAAUUUUCUGAGGACUCAAGAUGCAUUAGUUGACUAAGAUUUAUCAUUCUAAGCCAAUAAGUACCCAAGAUAUUCAAAAGUAGGUCACUGUGACCUACUUUAUGGUCAACAUUCUAUGAAAAACCCAAGAUGUCUCAACUGCCAAAGUUUAACAAUUCUAGGCCAAUACGUGCCCUGGAUAUUUAAAUAUAGACAUAAAAUUCUAAAUUAGGUCACCGUGACCUACUUUUUGGUCGACGUUCUCGGUAAACCCAAGGUUGCAUCACUAAGAAAGUUUGAUGAUUCUGAGCCAAUAAGUACCUAAGAUACUUAGAUAUAGCCAUAAAAUGUCUAAAGUAGGUCACCAUGACCUACUUUUUGGUUGACAUUUUCCGAAUACCCAAGAUGCAUCAACUGACAAAGUUUGAUGAUUCUAAGCCAAUAAGUACGUACAAGAUAAUUAAAUAUAGCCGUAAAAUGUCAAAAGUAGGUCACAGUGACUUACUUUUUGGUUGACAUUAUUUCAGUAGUGGUGGUAUUUCAAUAGUGGUUGCAUACUGUGUUUGUUAUUGAAAUGCACUCUCAACCACUAUUGAAAUAAUUAUUUCAAUAGUGGUCGUUAUUUCAAUAGUGGUUGCAACAUAGCAUAAUAUUGUAAAUACAUUUUCAGUAUCUUUUUUUAAAAAUUGUUUUUUUCUUGACUUCUCAUUGUAAAGGUAAUCUCUAUAUUCAUUUGAUCUUAAUUUUUUCUUGAUGUACUAAGUAUGUUUAUUCUGCAACACAUUUUCAUAGAAUCUGAUAUAAUAAAAACAUGCCAUUGCUCUGUGGUAUAUUGAGAUUGUUCAAAAAAGAUGUUUUAUUAAACUUUUCUUGGGUAGAAAUUAAAUUAAUUUUUAGGUUUAUUUAAGAAAUAUACAUGUAUAUGUUAUUAUAUAUGUUUUUAUUCAUGCUUGCCAUAAUAUAAUUAUUUAUUCAUGCUUUCCAUAUUUUCUAUCUUUUGUAUAAUGUGACAUUCCUUGAGCUUUUCAAUAAAAAAUAAAACUACA